CAGUACGGUGGAGUCCUCCACUGUUUGGCAGUGUCGUGUCUCCCAAACGCAGGGCUGUUGUGACUUAUUUGACAUAUCUUCCUGUUUCACAGGUUAAAGACUUUUUGAAGUAAAGAGGAGCAUCUCAUCUGAACCUGAUGUCUAUCAUGGAUAUUUAACUGCAGUUCUGUGAGUAUCCCAACUUAACCAUGAAGAUGAACUGCAAACUGUAAGUCAUUAAUUUCUCAUUACUCUUGGGCACAUUGAUGUAUUUUGGCUUCCUGGUGAGUUAACCCGUUAGCUGAAGGUUGAUCUGAGUAGUAAGGAUGUUUUAUUGGUUCAUGGGUUACUUAGGUGUUUGGUUUAUGUUGGUUUUAAUGAUUUGUUAAAAUGGUUACAGGCUCCAAGUUAUUGUUGUAAACUGGAGUAAUGGGUUGGGUUCUGAUAUCUUCAGUCUUCUUUCCAGCUACUCUCCUGAGCUCUGCAUCUUCAUCACAUGAGUGUUGCUCUACUGUGAGGGUGUGGUCUGAGUGAGCAGAGGUGCAUACUGGGAUACAGAGCUGUCUGAAUUCUACAGGUCUGUAGACGCGCCCCCUCAGGGGAAACCGAGUGUUUGAGAAACCGUUGUGACGUCAGUUACAUGGACUAGAAUGUUCUUUAAGAUGGAGACAGGGAUUCAGAAGGAGAAAAACCAGGGGGAGAUGAGGGGGCUCCUCAUCUCAACGACUAAAACACAACUUCAGUCUGACACGGAGAACCAUGGAACACAUUCAACCGUCCCCUCCAGGCAUCGUGACUCCUCAGGAAGAGUUUCAUUUCCAAGAAGGUCUUAUUUGGGGCCAUCCCCAUAUGGAUCCUGCUCCUCAAGAGCCACCCCCCCUCCACUGGGUGGUCUUCUGAACAGAUGACCUCCUUCCUGUCCUCAGGCUGACUAAAGCUGCACCGUUUGCAUCUGUGAAGGCCCCUCAUUCAGGAAACCACUGGACUACAAAGACAUGACUUCAGAGACGUUGAAUCAACCUGGAACACAUUUUGAAGACGCCAAGCAUAAUCCAUCACCAAUGUGGGACGCCACUGAAAAAUGUUGCACAUAAUUUACUUCUCUGGAGACAUUGGUUGUUCUGUUCUGGGUGCCCUGGCAGGAGAGCUGGGGUUGGAUGAUGGAACGUUAUUUGGCAUGAGGUUUUUAACCUGCAUGAUUGUUUGACCUUUUAUGGCUCAGUGGUGUGUGUGUGUGUGUGUGUGUGUUUGGGUUUGACAUGAUAUGGAUGAUUUUUGACCAUCGCUAGGGUUCUACUGUGUGUGUCUCCCACUCACAGCUGGCAUGGGGUUCUACGUGCGUGUCCUGGAUUCUAUGUGUGUGUGUCCGGCUUGCUUUGACAGUAAUAAUGUUCAUACGGGGGUCUGUGUGAUUGGCUUGGGAUAUUGGUCAAUUAAAUCAUACCUGAUGGACGGCCACACGUUUACUUAAGGGCCUCCAGUAGACAUGAAGAGCCCAGAGCGACACUCCGGAGCGAGAUCCAACACACUGGGCAGGAAGGACAGUAUCCAACUCAAGUGUAAAAGGAUGUAAGCGGCGUGUUCAGAUCAGUGACUUCAAACUAGGACUACACCAAUCAGGAUCAAUGGAGGAUGGACACCUAAAGGAAUUCCACAAGGAGAGUGACGUUGGAAAGGGACCUAAAUGGAUAUUCAAGAUGACCUUCAGACCUGUAAUGAGACGGCUCUUCCUUCCUGGCUGGAUUGAUGGAGAGCCCUGUGGAUCUUGUCUUGCUCUCAGUUGCACGUCUUCUCAGGCUGAACUGUAUUUGUUUCGGACAGGACUAGCUGAACGAUUGGUUCCCUUAAAUCAGAACCAAUCUGGGAACUCCAACUAGUGCGCUCUUCGAGCUGAAGUUUUGCUCUUCAGCUGAGGAGGUAAGGAAACCUUCACUGGGGUUUCAAGGUGUAAAGAGGAGGAUGUUUCAAAGUGUUCCAUGGUACUCUGAUGAGGACCGUUGUUGUGUUCCACUGGCUGGGAGGAAGAACCCUCACAUCUUCCUCUUGGCUUUUCUCCUCUGAGAAUCCUGGCGCCAUCUUGAAGGAUAUUCCAGCUCAUGCAACUGAUGUCAUGACAGAUUCUCAAACACUUGGUUUCUCCUGAGGGGCGUGUCUAUAGAACUGAAGACUUGAGACGGCACUGUAUCCCAGCAUGCAUCUCUGCUCACUCAGACCACACCCCCAUUAGUAGGAUGCAACAUUCUAGGGAUGGAGAUGUAGAGUUUUAUAAAGUAACGAGGGAGCAGACAAAGGUGUUUAGAACACAAUGGCAUGUCAAGUCUGUAAAUCUCUAAACCAUGAAGAUGAUUGGAUAGUUCAGGAAUUGGGCUUCUAUUUAUUAUGAGCAGUCCUUUCGCUCAGAUGCCCACUUCCCACUAGACCUGUACAUGUGUUGGCUGGCUGGCAUGAUUUGCUGUUGGUGAUGAGGCGGUCAGGGUGACGUUGCAGGGCUUAUGGUCGGCUCUCUGUGAGCUCAACCUUUAGAUUUGCUCUGUAUGGUUUUUACCCUGAAUAAUCUAGAUAAUUGUAAAAUGUAGACACGGUUUUGUAUUGAAUGAUUCCAUUGUUCUUAGGCAAGGAUUUGAGGUUUAAAGUUGUUGUGGGACGUACAUGGUAGUUUGGUUCUUUGUACGGUUUUGAGUGAUAUAACAUGUACACACUGGGUGCAUAUUAAUGUAAAGGUACACUGAAUAGUAGCAAUGACCAACAGCAACAAACAGAUCUCCUCAAGGUAAGUCUGUUGGCUGUGUUUUAAUGAAGACCAUCGCUGGACUUCAGGAUCUUCCUCCGUUCAGCUCAAGGUGAGGCGCUGGUUAUGUUUUUUUCUUUGGUUGGUUCCGGCCGGAAUGUUCGGAUUCCGGUCGGACGGUUUGUGCUUCCCGCCGUGGAAGUUUCUGAGUGCGGUCACUUUAUUUAGUCCCAAUGGUUAGCAUAGAACGUUGUAGUCUUGAUAAACAUUAGAAGACACCUGGCAGUUAGUUGGAGCGGAGUCCCCCGAGGGAAUCUGGCGGAACGUUCUGGCUUGUAUUUGCGUAACCUCGAGCCGUUGCCAACGGAAAAAAAAUUUCAGUCGGUUUCCAUUGGGAAUUGUUGCCCCUUAUCUUAAACAACUUAAGUUUGAUAUAAAAUAAUAAUAAUAAAUAAUACAUUUAAUUUAAAGGGCGCCUUUCAAGACACCCAAGGUCACCUUACAGAGCAUAAAGUUAUCAUAAAUCGUUUAAAAACAAGACAUUGUGGAAAAAUACUAAUAAUAGAUAAAUAAAUAAAACAAAAACAAGACAAAACAAACAAUCAAGACAGUGAUCAGUUAGACGUAAAUACAUACUGACACGUACGUCGUACAAUAUCUUGAUAAUUUUCGAUGGUUGCGCCGUACUUCUAACCACGUUGACGGGACUCGCGCUGCGUACGAAACGGCCUUCUACUUGCGGGCCCAUUUUUGACAUCAGUGAAGGCUGUAAAUCAUUUCAAGCUGGAAGACAUUUUGACAGUUCUUCAACGGAACCCAACACCUGAAUAUGGCUGAGUAAAUUUGAUUUAAUAUCGAUACUGCUUAGUGUUUGUUACUUGUGCUUUUGUACGUUCUAAAUAUCUGCGGCCAUUAAUUGCCACAGAAGUUAAACCCUACCCAAUGGAAUGACGUUACACAACGACUUUGUUGCAGAGUUACCAACUGGAUAAUAUCAAAGCUAAAAUAAUGGCAGUUUUUCUCACAUGUUACAGUAGAAGAUUAUCCAGAACUGUAAAAGGUUAAAAAGGUAACAUGUAGUUUGUCCCAAGGUGUCUGCCUCCUCACCCAGAGCCAGACCUCCACCUCCUCACCCAGAGCCAGACCUCCACCUCCUCACCCAGAGCCAGACCUCCGCCUCCUCACCCAGAGCCAGACCUCCGCCUCCUCACCCAGAGCCAGACCUCCGCCUCCUCACCCAGAGCCAGACCUCCGCCUCCUCCCCCAGAGCCAGACCUCCACCUCCUCACCCAGAGCCAGACCUCCACCUCCUGUCAGAAGUCCUCCAGAACAGCUGAGAGGCGAGGCUGAGAGGCUGGGGACCGUCUUGUGGUGCCAGGAUGGACCGGAGACUGAGGCUGGAGACCAGGGGCCUGCAGCACCGGACCAGAGGGCCCCGCCUGGUGGAGGAGCUGGUGGAGGCCCUGCCUGGUGGAGGACGUCUGUCAUGGGACCAGGACUCUGUCUGAGGAGAGCUGCUGGAGGAGCUGAGACGCUGGAGGACGACUAGGAAUCGACCAACAAGGAUUCCUCAACGUGUUUCUGGAGCGGAGGUGAGGUGGUAGGGGAGCCUUGAAUCUGGAGGAGGACCAUCACUCUAACCACAAGGAUUGGAAGUUUGUAUUAACCUAACAACGUGGAAAUAAAGGGCUUUAAAAUAAGACAAACUACAUAUUUGUUUCCAGACGUAAGGGCCGGACUUGCGCUGUUUGUUCCAGACCAGGAUUCUCGCUGAGGAGAGCUGAUGGGGGAGCCAAGACUCUGGAGGACGACAUCACUCCACCAACAAGGAUCCUCAGACAAAUUACGUUUGUAACCAGACCAGGAAUCUGGAGGACUGAUGGAGAAGCCGUACAUCUGGAAGGCAAAUCCUGAGGACCACCAGGACUCUAUCAUCAAGGAUUCCUCACACACCUGAGCUGAACCUCACCUGAUCCUGUUUGUCGGGGGCAGACACACCUGAGCUGAACCCCAACUGAACCUGACAUCCUGCUGGUCCCGUCUCCUCAGUUCAUCUGAGCCUCGUCCUCCAGAAGACUUGCUGAGCUCAGCAGAGACUGAUGUAUCAAUGACCUCCAGUGGGAGUGAUCUUCUUGACCCCACAUGUAACCGUGUGCUUCCACACGCCUUUCCCUCACGUCUGUCACUAACCUCACUACUUCACUACUCUCUACUGCUUCUUCUUCUUCCUUCUCUGUGGUUCGAACCUUUACACGGAAGGCGCGUCUUCCUGCCCUCAGAGGGUUCAGCGUUAGGGUUGAGAGUCAGGGUUUAGAGUCAGGGACAGAGCUGGUCAGGGAGGACUGAUUUAACACAAACCUCUUCACUUGCUUUCGGAAUGGUGGUGACAUUUUGAAAAGAUUCAUUUGGGAAAAUGUUUUCCUCUACUUCCCUUUACAAAAUUGUAUUAAACUUCUGUCAAGUGCUUUUGUUAUAUAUUAAAA